rnacentral:rRNA from 1 species
UUUGACAUACAAGUAGUAGGGAAAGGAAACUGGACCGACCCUUCGGGGAGCUUGUACAGGUGCUGCAUGGCUGUCGUCAGCUCGUGUCGUGAGAUGUUCGGUUAAGUCCGCUAACGAGCGCAACCCUCGCUGUGUGUUACAAGUGUCACACGGAACUGCCGGUCAUAAACCGGAGGAAGGUGGGAUGACGUCAAGUCAGCAUGGCCUUUAUAUCCUGGGCUACACACACGCUACAAUGGGAAGGGACAAUAGGUUGCGAAGCCGCGAGGCGGAGCCAAUCCAGCAAAACUUCCCUCAGUUCAGAUUGCAGGCUGCAACUCGCCUGCAUGAAGUUGGAGUUGCUAGUAAACGCAGGUCAGCCAUACUGCGUUGAAUACGUUCCCGGGGCUU